UACGUAGGGCGCAAGCGUUGUCCGGAAUUAUUGGGCGUAAAGAGCUCGUAGGCGGUUUGUCGCGUCUGCUGUGAAAACUCGAGGCUCAACCUCGGGCUUGCAGUGGUACGGGCAGACUAGAGUGCGGUAGGGGUGACUGGAAUUCCUGGUGUAGCGGUGGAAUGCGCAGAUAUCAGGAGGAACACCGAUGGCGAAGGCAGGUCACUGGGCCGCAACUGACGCUGAGGAGCGAAAGCAUGGGGAGCGAACAGG
rnacentral:rRNA from 1 species